UACGUAGGGGACGAGCGUUGUCCGGAAUUAUUGGGCGUAAAGAGCGUGUAGGCGGCUCUGCAAGUCCUGCGUGAAAUCUCGAGGCUCAACCUCGAGCGGUCGUGGGAAACUGGAGGGCUAGAGUGCGGGAGAGGGAAGUGGAAUUCCAGGUGUAGCGGUGAAAUGCGCAGAUACCUGGAAGAACACCCGUGGCGAAGGCGGCUUCCUGGAACGACACUGACGCUGAGACGCGAAAGCGUGGGGAGCAAACAGG
rnacentral:rRNA from 1 species